ACCAACUAUCGAACGUGACAAUAACGGAAAUGAUGAAAAUGAUGUUUGUCCGGCUCAAUUGAAUCUGUUUUGCGACAAUUCAAGCCAUUUUAGAUCUAUUUAAUCCUCAAUUUGCAAAGAUUGUCAGUCAAAGUAUCAAGUACAAAGUCAACUUCAUUGAAUUUCAAAUACAAAACUCAAGUUGAAGCAAAAUCUAGAAUCAUAAUCUCAAUUGAGUAGUCUCACUAGUCCAAGUUGACAAUCGUUGAAACCCAAAGUCCAAAGUAACUGGAUCCAACUCUUUAUUGAUUCAGUUAUUAACCAGUUUCAAUUCAUUUUGAACAAAAACAGUUUCAGCCUAACCAUUGUGAAUUAGUUUUUAACAUUUCAUUGUUUUUAUAUGAAUCAUCAUGAGAUAUUUUCCACUGUUUAUUUAAUCUUUAUGCUACAACUCGGAGCAUAAUUUUUUUUAUUCCAUUCAAUAGAUGUAAGCUGCUAAGAAAAUGUAUGAGAAAAAACCGCCUCAUGGAAUCUUGGAAUAAGCUCAUGGUCCCUUUUCAUCUCCACCUCGGCCACUGUCGUAAACAGAAUUG